rnacentral:rRNA from 1 species
CGCGUAGGAAUCUACCCAGUAGCGGGGGAUAGCCCGGGGAAACCCGGAUUAAUACCGCAUACGCCCUAAGGGGGAAAGCAGGGGAUCUUCGGACCUUGCACUAUUGGAUGAGCCUGCGUUGGAUUAGCUAGUUGGUGGGGUAAAGGCCUACCAAGGCGACAAUCCAUAGCUGGUCUGAGAGGAUGAUCAGCCACACUGGGACUGAGACACGGCCCAGACUCCUACGGGAGGCAGCAGUAGGGAAUAUUGGACAAUGGGGGCAACCCUGAUCCAGCCAUGCCGCGUGUGUGAAGAAGGCUU